rnacentral:rRNA from 1 species
AUUGAACGCUGGCGGCAGGCCCAACACAUGCAAGUCGAGCGGAUGAAGGGAGCUUGCUCCUGGAUUCAGCGGCGGACGGGUGAGUAAUGCCUAGGAAUCUGCCUGGUAGUGGGGGAUAACGUCCGGAAACGGGCGCUAAUACCGCAUACGUCCUGAGGGAGAAAGUGGGGGAUCUUCGGACCUCACGCUAUCAGAUGAGCCUAGGUCGGAUUAGCUAGUUGGUGGGGUAAAGGCCUACCAAGGCGACGAUCCGUAACUGGUCUGAGAGGAUGAUCAGUCAUAAGGAAACGGGAACACGUUCCGGACUCUGGCGGGAGCGAGCAGUGGGGAAUUUUGAACAAGGGGGGAAAGCUUAAACGAGCCUUGCCGGGUGGGUGAAAAAGGUCUUCGGAUUGUAAAGCACUUUAAUUGGGGAGAAAGGGGAGUAGUUUAAUCCCUUGUUGUUUUGACGUAACAAAAAGAAAAAGCCCCGGCAAUCUUCGUC